rnacentral:tRNA from 11 species
GCCCGCGUGGUGGAAUUGGUAGACAUCAGGGACUUAAAAUCCCUUGGCCUCUGGCCGUGCGGGUUCGAGUCCCGCCGCGGGCACCA